rnacentral:rRNA from 1 species
UACGUAGGUGGCAAGCGUUGUCCGGAAUUAUUGGGCGUAAAGCGCGCGCAGGCGGUCCUUUAAGUCUGAUAUGAAAUCUUGCGGCUCAACCGCAAGCGGUCAUUGGAAACUGGGGGACUUGAGUACAGAAGAGGAAAGCGGAAUUCCACGUGUAGCGGUGAAAUGCGUAGAGAUGUGGAGGAACACCAGUGGCGAAGGCGGCUUUCUGGUCUGUAACUGACGCUGAGGCGCGAAAGCGUGGGGAGCAAACAGG